rnacentral:ribozyme from 1 species
UAAAAGAGCAUGAAGACACAUUGCUCACGAAGAAGAUUGCCACUUUUUAUUGAGUUUGUUUUCCUUUUUUUGGCUCGUUUCUUCUUUCUUUCUUUUGUUAUUUUGUA